rnacentral:lncRNA from 1 species
GUAAUUACUGAUUUUAAAAUGAAUUUUUACACCUAUUUACUAACUGUUAAAACAAUGUUGUAAUAUGGUCAACUGAUCAAAAGUUAUGGUAAUACCAAGGAUUUGUAUAGUCUUACUAUACAAAUCCUUGGUAAUACUAAUUAGAAAAUCAGUGAGUAUUCAGCUAUCAAAAUUUUAAGGGUUUUUCAGAACCCAGUGUCUCGCCUACUUUUGCUGUGAGUUGCAGGCCCAACAA